UUCGAACCUGAGAGUUUGAUCCUGGCUCAGAACGAACGCUGGCGGCAUGCCUAACACAUGCAAGUCGAACGAU
rnacentral:rRNA from 1 species